AUGCUCAUAUUGGCUCCCACAUAUUCUACAAAGAUCUUUAUCGGUCAGACCGGCAUAUUUCCUUCAAAGAUGUCCAUGAAUCCCUUCUGCGAGAUUGCCGUGGAGGAGGCGCUGCGGCUCCGCGAGGCCGGCGCCGCCUCCGAGGUCGUCGCCGCCACCGUCGGUCCCGCGCAGGUCGCCGACACGCUCCGCACCGCGCUCGCCAUGGGCGCCGACCGCGCCGUCCAUGUCCUCCACGACCCCGACCCCGACGCCGCCCGCCCGCUCCUCCCGCUCGCCGUCGCCAAGAUCCUCCGCGCCCUCGCGCUCCAGGAGACCCCCGGCCUCCUCAUCCUCGGCAAGCAGGAAUUAGACACUCAAAAUUCCGACCGUUGCUGUGCUACGCGCCAGCUGUCCCAAAAUAUCUACCCACCUAACGCGAGGUACUCCCUUGUUUUGUGUGAUUUUGGUUUAACCGCCUGGAGUUUUAGUUUUGUCGACCGUAGGUAUGAUCAAGGUCUGUGCUGGGUGAGCUAG
rnacentral:rRNA from 1 species